rnacentral:rRNA from 1 species
UAAAGAUUCAUCGCUGAUAGAUAGGCAUGCGUUCCAUUAGGCAGUGGGCGGGGUAACGGCCCACCAAACCGACGAUGGAUAGGGGUUCUGAGAGGAAGGUCCCCCACAUUGGUACUGAGACACGGACCAAACUCCUACGGGAGGCAGCAGUGAGGAAUAUUGGUCAAUGGGCGCGAGCCUGAACCAGCCAAGUCGCGUGAGGGAUGAAGGUUCUAUGGAUCGUAAACCUCUUUUAUAAGGGAAUAAAGUGUGGGACGUGUCCUAUUUUGUAUGUACCUUAUGAAUAAGGAUCGGCUAACUCCGUGCCAGCAGCCGCGGUAAUACGGAGGAUCCGAGCGUUAUCCGGAUUUAUUGGGUUUAAAGGGUGCGUAGGCGGCCUUUUAAGUCAGCGGUGAAAGUCUGUGGCUCAACCAUAGAAUUGCCGUUGAAACUGGGGGGCUUGAGUAUGUUUGAGGCAGGCGGAAUGCGUGGUGUAGCGGUGAAAUGCUUAGAUAUCACGCAGAACCCCGAUUGCGAAGGCAGCCUGCCAAGCCAUGACUGACGCUGAUGCACGAAAGCGUGGGGAUCAAACAGGAUUAGAUACCCUGGUAGUCCACGC